UCGAUGCAAACAGUUUGACAGUUCUCUUCAGUUGAUCUUGUUCGGACUUGAUUGCAACCGAAUCGAACCAGCUGUCCUUCCUUUUGGGAUUUGGUUUAGGAGCCUCGAAGAUUUUGGACGAUUUUCGACGGAUAAUAGAUUUCGGUCUUCGUGGCAGUGGAGGAGGACGCGAAGGAGGACGGGACGGGAAGGAACCGGUUUGCGAUCGAGGAAGGUUGGUGUUUGGUGUUUUAUUUUCCGCGGGAGGUGGCGGCACAUACCUGAUGAAACUCGGAACAAACACGUACUCCACAAUCCCACGUUAUCUCGUACUCCGGUGACCAUUAAUCCGUCUGAGAUCCAAGAUUGGCAUCGCAUCCGGGUAAAACUUUGAUCAGCUCGUCGAGAAGCAAAAGUCCAACACCAACAUCCAAGCCGGAAGCUGCGGUCAAGGCAAAUCCGAGACCAUCUGAAGAAAGCCAAGUUGGAUAAGAAUCGGUGAUCCGGAAGUUAAAUUUAGUGAAAAAGUGAAUAUUAUAGUGAAAUUAGGUGUGUUUCAAUAA